UGGGGAAUAUUGCACAAUGGGCGCAAGCCUGAUGCAGCCAUGCCGCGUGUGUGAAGAAGGCCUUCGGGUUGUAAAGCACUUUCAGCGGGGAGGAAGGCGUUAAGGUUAAUAACCUUGGCGAUUGACGUUACCCGCAGAAGAAGCACCGGCUAACUCCGUGCCAGCAGCCGCGAUAAUACGGAGGGUGCAAGCGUUAAUCGGAAUUACUGGGCGUAAAGCGCACGCAGGCGGUCUGUCAAGUCGGAUGUGAAAUCCCCGGGCUCAACCUGGGAACUGCAUUCGAAACUGGCAGGCUAGAGUCUUGUAGAGGGGGGUAGAAUUCCAGGUGUAGCGGUGAAAUGCGUAGAGAUCUGGAGGAAUACCGGUGGCGAAGGCGGCCCCCUGGACAAAGACUGACGCUCAGGUGCGAAAGCGUGGGGAGCAAACAGG
rnacentral:rRNA from 1 species